rnacentral:rRNA from 1 species
ACUCCUACGGGAGGCAGCAGUGGGGAAUAUUGCACAAUGGGCGAAUGCCUGAUGCAGCGACGCCGCGUGAGGGAUGACGGCCUUCGGGUUGUAAACCUCCUUCAGUAGGGAAGAAGCGAAAGUGACGGUACCUGCAGAAGAAGCGCCGGCUAACUACGUGCCAGCAGCCGCGGUAAU